rnacentral:rRNA from 1 species
AACGAACGCUGGCGGCAUGCCUAACACAUGCAAGUCGAACGAGACCUUCGGGUCUAGUGGCGCACGGGUGCGUAACGCGUGGGAACCUGCCCUUAGGUUCGGAAUAACUCCCCGAAAGGGGUGCUAAUACCGGAUAAUGUCUUCGGACCAAAGAUUUAUCGCCUUUGGAUGGGCCCGCGUUGGUUUAGCUAGUUGGUAGGGUAAAAGCCUACCAAGGCGACGAUCCAUAGCUGGUCUGAGAGGAUGAUCAGCCACACUGGGACUGAGACACGGCCCAGACUCCUACGGGAGGCAGCAGUGAGGAAUAUUGGACAAUGGGCGAAAGCCUGAUCCAGCAAUGCCGCGUGAGUGAUGAAGGCCUUAGGGUUGUAAAGCUCUUUUACCCGGGAUGAUAAUGACAGUACCGGGAGAAUAAGCUCCGGCUAACUCCGUG